rnacentral:misc_RNA from 1 species
UGUAGGAGCUGCCGAAGGCUGCGAUCUUUUGAUGUUGAUUUUUAGAAGCAAAUCAAAAGAUCGCAGCCUUCGGCAGCUCCUUGU